UGGUCCCUCUCCCUCUUGUGGUCAGACCUGUCCCCGCUCUGGCUCCUCCCUCCCUCCUCCCUCCCUCCUCUCUCUCACCAGUGCCUGCAGGUGCCUCAGGGAAGCAGAGCUCAGACCCUAACCUGCCCUCUGCCACCCAUCCAGUCAGUCUCCGUCCAGCAGGUGCAGCUGAGAGGUCACCCUGGGCUUCUCCCCACCAGCGGGGAAGCAGAACCAUGCUGGGUCCCCUCGCCUUCCUGUGUGCCCUCCUGUUUCCAGGUGGCGAGGCAGCGAUCAGUCUGACUCAGCAGGCUGUGGCCGUGGGGCGUGUGGGCAGCUCGGCCACCCUCUCCUGCCAAGCCAGCGCCUCCGUCAGCUACAUCCACUGGUACCUCCACCAGGAGGGGACUGACCCCAAGAGGAUCCUCAUGCUGGACAUGUCAAGGUUACAUGUGCAGAGGUAUGGGGGCUUGGAAGCGGACAAAAUCGAUGCCAAGAAAGGCAAGGAAAGCAACAGCUGUGAACUGUCAGUGAAGAAGCUGCAGAAGAGUGACGAGGGCGUGUACUACUGUGCUGCCUGGGAAGCUCACAGCCCCGCCUGGGGCAACAAAGUGUUCGGUCCGGGCACACUGCUCAGGGUCACAGAUAGAAGCCUUGAUGCAGACACUUCCCCCAAGCCCACACUCUUUCUUCCUUCGAUGGCUGAAAUAAAAUUCGAUAGGACUGGAACGUAUCUUUGCCUUCUUGAGAAUUUCUUCCCUGAUGUUGUCAAGAUAGACUGGAAAGAAAAGAACAGCAAAAGAAUUCUGAUAUCCCAGCAGGGAAACACCAUGAAGACAAAGGACACAUACAUGAAAUACACCUGGUUGACGCGCACUAAACAGUCAAUAAAUAAAGAACACAAAUGUAUCUUCACACAUGAGACUAAUAAAGGAGGGGUUGAUCAUGAGAUUGCUUUUCACUCAAUGAAGAAAGAGCUCGCUGUCAUUGAUUCUAUAGAAGCUUCUCUGAAAGAUGAAAAUGACCCCCUACAGCUGCAGUGUGCGAACACCUCUGCCUACUACACCUACGUCAUCCUCCUCGUCAAGAGCAUGGUCUACACCAUCAUCAUCGCCUACUGUCUGCUUGGGAGACCAGCACUCUGCCGCAAUGAGAAGAGUUGUAACACAUGGUGGCCCAAGGCUCCACUUUUCUUUACUGGCUAUUGUCGCUAAAGGUGUCUGCUGAGGCUCUAGCGGGGCUUUCUUUCUGGGUGUGGGUUAUUGCAGUUCACAUGUGUCUUUUUUCUAUGUGUCAUCACUGCAGAAUGGGUUUACAAACUGCUGGGCAAACAGGAAAUGUCACUCUGCACCAAGAACAGACUCUGCCAUGAGUCAGGGGCGGGGCCGGGGGGCACUCACGGGGGCUUCAGUACCACUCUCUCCUUCACGCCCACCAGCCCGUCAGCCACCCAGCACCCUCGCCUCUGAGUACAGCUGGCAUGCAGCUUCCAUAGUGGCCCCUGGGGCUCUGUAUGCAGAUAACUGCCUGGAGGCCUUUUAUUUUACAUACAUGGAAGCUGCCAUCUUUGCUACCUGAGUUUUGUUCUGUUGUUCGUAACAGGCAUAAUAAAAAUAAUCAAAAGUGUA